CAAGCAAAAUGACUUUUUACUUUUUUCUUUAAUAAAUUUUUAACUUUGGGGAAUAACAAUGCAUAAAAUUUUACAUGGCAAAUCAAAGUUAGGAAUUUCACUCCUCUUUUNNNNNNNNNGCCGCCACAACCUAAGAACACAAAUUUUGAAGCUGCACUUGCAAAGUUCAAAACUCAGUUGCUUUAGGCAUAACUAAAGACAUAGUUACAAUCAGGUAUGACUAAAACAACAGAGUUUUGAACCGUUGCAACUGCAGCUUCAAAAUUUGUUAUGUUAGACUGUAGCCGCAAGGGUUCAUAAGAUCAAGAAAGGAGAGAAAUUCCUAACUUUAAGGUUCCAUGUAAAAUUUUAUACAUUUGUUAUUUCAAAAAGCUAAAAUUUUAUUAAAGAAGAAACAAAAAGAGGAGAGGGAGGACAUAUAAACCUAUCCUAGAACCCCGUCUUCUAAAAGUUGAUGAACUAAUCAAAGAAAUCACAGUUGUUUGCAAUUUGGAAUCACUUGAUACUUUUGAACCUUUUAUUUUAUCUCCAAAAUAGUAUUCCUCGGGCGUCAAUCUUCAAAUUUCUCCGGAGAGUAAUAGGUGCGAUGUAUUUGUACUCCUCAAAGAAAGACUACAUAUUUGACCUCUCGUUUGCAAUGUGAGCUUUAUCUGCAAAAUGUCAUAGAAAAGUUACGAAAAAUAAGAAAAUAUAUAAGCAAAAAUGAGUAACAAAAGUUAAUGUAUCUGGACUAAAUUUUACACCAAAUACAUUAACUUUUGUCGACUAGUUUUUGCUUAUAUUUUAGGGCGGAGUUUAAUAGAGUAAAACGAUUCGACUGAGCUAAUCCUCCAUAGCUUCACAAAAAUGAAUUAAAUUAUAAAAGAAUAUCAUUUGUGAAUGAGAAAUAGUAAAGAGAAAUUUUCAAACCUUAUGCAAACUCGAGAGAGGUUGUCAUAUUUUGGAGAAGUGAAU
rnacentral:lncRNA from 1 species